rnacentral:rRNA from 1 species
UAGGGAAUCUUCCACAAUGGACGCAAGUCUGAUGGAGCAACGCCGCGUGAGUGAAGAAGGUUUUCGGAUCGUAAAGCUCUGUUGUUGGUGAAGAAGGAUAGAGGCAGUAACUGGUCUUUAUUUGACGGUAAUCAACCAGAAAGUCACGGCUAACUACGUGCCAGCAGCCGCGGUAAUACGUAGGUGGCAAGCGUUGUCCGGAUUUAUUGGGCGUAAAGCGAGCGCAGGCGGAAUGAUAAGUCUGAUGUGAAAGCCCACGGCUCAACUGUGGAACUGCAUCGGAAACUGUCAUUCUUGAGUGCAGAAGAGGAGAGUGGAAUUCCAUGUGUAGCGGUGGAAUGCGUAGAUAUAUGGAAGAACACCAGUGGCGAAGGCGGCUCUCUGGUCUGCAACUGACGCUGAGGCUCGAAAGCAUGGGUAGCGAACAGG